rnacentral:rRNA from 2 species
UAAAAAGCUCGUAGUUGGAUUUCGGGGCGGCCCGGCCGGUCCGCCGCAAGGCGAGCACUGGUCGGGCGCCCUUCCUCUCGAAGGCUUCGACUGCUCUUGAUUGUUGUGGUCGAGGAGUUCGGGACGUUUACUUUGAAAAAAUUAGAGUGUUCAAGGCAGGCCGUGGCCUGAAUACAUUAGCAUGGAAUAAUGGAAGAGGACCUCGGUCCUAUUUUGUUGGUUUCCAGGGCCGAAGUAAUGAUUGAGAGGGACAGUUGGGGGCAUUCGUAUUUAAUUGUCAGAGGUGAAAUUCUCGGAUUUAUGAAAGACGAACAAGUGCGAAAGCAUUUUCCAAGGAUGUUUUCAUUAAUCAAGAACGAAAGUUGGGGGUUCGAAGACGAUCAGAUACCGUCGUAGUCCCAACCAUAAACUAUGCCGACUAGGGAUCGGCGGAUGUUAGCGUCUGACUCCGUCGGCACCUUACGAGAAAUCAAGAGUCUUUGG